rnacentral:hammerhead_ribozyme from 1 species
GUACUGCUGAGGAGUCCAUAACUAGGACGAAACAGUUGUCCAGUAC